rnacentral:rRNA from 1 species
AUACGGAGGAUGCGAGCGUUAUCCGGAUUUAUUGGGUUUAAAGGGAGCGUAGACGGGAGCUUAAGUCAGCGGUUAAAUGGUGCGGCUCAACCGUGCCCUGCCGUUGAAACUGGGUUUCUUGAGAGUGCAAGAGGCGGAUGGAAUUCAUGGUGUAGCGGUGAAAUGCUUAGAUAUCAUGAAGAACUCCGAUUGCGAAGGCAGUCCGCUGGGGCACGUCUGACGCUGAUGCUCGAAGGUGCGGGAAUCAAACAGGAUUAGAUACCCUGGUAGUCCGCACGGUAAACGAUGAUUACCCGCUGUCGGCGGUAGACAGUCGGCGGCCAAGCGAAAGCGAUAAGUAAUCCACCUGGGGAGUACGCCGGCAACGGUGAAACUCAAAGGAAUUGACGGGG